rnacentral:rRNA from 1 species
GAUGAACGCUGGCGGCGUGCCUAAUACAUGCAAGUCGAACGAAUCUUCUUCGGAAGAUGAGUGGCGAACGGGUGAGUAAUACAUAGGUAACCUGCCCCUGUGCGGGGGAUAACAGGAGGAAACUCCUGCUAAUACCGCAUAGCCAUGAGCACCGCAUGGAGCUCAUGCCAAAUAUCCUUUCGGGGAUAGCGCAGGGAUGGACCUAUGGCGCAUUAGCUGGUUGGCGGGGCAACGGCCCACCAAGGCAACGAUGCGUAGCCGGCGUGAGAGGGAGGAAGGCCACAGUGGGGCGAAGAGACGGCCCAGACUCCGACGGGAGGCAACAGUAGGGAAUUUUCGGCAAUGGGGGAAACCAUGACCGAGCAAAGCCGCGUGAGCGAAGAAGGCCUUCGGGUCGUAAAGCUCUGUUGUAAAGGAAGAACGGCGCAUACAGGAAAUGGUAUGCGAGUGACGGUACUUUACCAGAAAGCCACGGCUAACUACGUGCCAGCAGCCGCAGUAA